CGCUGGAUUGCGGGGGCGUGGUAUUCGGGUGGUACGUUGCCCGGGAAUCUACAACCCCGGGUUCGACCUGGGAACUGUCUUUGAAACUGGCUUCUUGAGUCUUGGACAUGGGGGUACAAUUCCAGGCGUACUCGUGAAAUGCAUGAAGAUCUGGAGGAAUACCCGCGUUCAACGCGGUCCCCUGUGCAAAGACUGACGCUCAGGCGCGAAAGCGUGGGGAGCAAACAGGAUUAGAUACCCUGGUAGUCCACGCUGUAAACCAUGCCUACUUGGAGGUUGUUCCCUUGAGGAGUGGCUUCCGGAGCUAACGCGUUAAGGAAACCGCCUGGGGACUACGGCCGCAAGGCUAAAACUCAAAUGAAUUGACGGGGGCCCGCACAACCGCUGGAUAAUGCGCAUGAUUUCCAUGUAGCGCGAACAACCUUACCUACUCUUGACAUCCAAACAACUUACCGUACAUGCUUUGGGGCCUUCUGGAACUCUGAGAUCCGGGCUGCAUGGCUGUCGGCAACUCCCGCUGUGACAUGUUGGGUUACGUCCCGCACCAACCGGGACCCUUAUCCUGUGUGGUCCCCGGGCCUUCCGGGAACUCAGAGGAGACUGGCACUGAUGGACUGCAUGAACGUGGGGAUGACUCCAGAUCUUCAUGGCCCUUACGAGUAGGGCUACACACGUGCUCCAUGGCAUAUACUCAGAGAAGCGACCUCACAAGAGCAAGCGGACCUCAGAAAGUAUGACUUACCCCUGACUGGAGUCUGCAACUCGACUCCGUGAACCGGAAUCGCUCCUAUCACAGAUCGCACCGCCC
rnacentral:rRNA from 1 species